UACGUAGGGUGCAAGCGUUGUCCGGAAUUAUUGGGCGUAAAGAGCUCGUAGGCGGUUUGUCGCGUCUGCUGUGAAAACUGGGGGGCUCAACCCCCCAGCCUGCAGUGGGUACGGGCAGACUAGAGUGCGGUAGGGGAGAUUGGAAUUCCUGGUGUAGCGGUGGAAUGCGCAGAUAUCAGGAGGAACACCGAUGGCGAAGGCAGAUCUCUGGGCCGUAACUGACGCUGAGGAGCGAAAAGCAUGGGGAGCGAACAGG
rnacentral:rRNA from 1 species